rnacentral:lncRNA from 1 species
CAGGACUCUAUGUAAGAUGGAAAUAGUGGCCAUCUGUCUACAGAGUACUGGACAUGGACUCAGCACUCUUCUCAACACUUUGUCUGAACUCGUAUAAUAUCCUCUAAAAUCCCGGUUUUGCAGAGGAGAAAACUAGGACACAAAAGAGAUGAAAUUUGCUAGACUGCCGACCUGUCAGCAGUUAUUUAAAACCUCUGGCUCCCAAAUACUGAAAGAAACAGUGGAACUGUAAGUGAUUUCCAGUAUUGCCUGGUUCCAGAUCUGAG